GUGAAAUCCCCGGGCUCAACCUGGGAACUGCGUUCUGAACUGGGUGACUAGAGUGUGUCAGAGGGAGGUAGAAUUCCACGUGUAGCAGUGAAAUGCGUAGAGAUGUGGAGGAAUACCGAUGGCGAAGGCAGCCUCCUGGGAUAACACUGACGUUCAUGCCCGAAAGCGUGGGUAGCAAACAGGAUUAGAUACCCUGGUAGUCCACGCCCUAAACGAUGUCGAUUAGCUGUUGGGCAGCUUGACUGCUUAGUAGCGAAGCUAACGCGUGAAAUCGACCGCCUGGGGAGUACGGUCGCAAGAUUAAAACUCAAAGGAAUUGACGGGGACCCGCACAAGCGGUGGAUGAUGUGGAUUAAUUCGAUGCAACGCGAAGAACCUUACCUGGUCUUGACAUGUACGGAACCCUCCAGAGACGGAGGGGUGCCUUCGGGAGCCGUAACACAGGUGCUGCAUGGCUGUCGUCAGCUCGUGUCGUGAG
rnacentral:rRNA from 1 species